GUUUAUGAUGAUUUUCCACAUUUCACGACGGUCAACUGCGUUUCACCCCUGUUAAGGUGGAACUUUGAUGAUAAUCUGCCCCUGACAGGGCGUGGUGCUGAUA
rfam:Cyberlindnera jadinii strain CBS1600 genome assembly, contig: CJ4